ACUGCUCAGUAACACGUGGACAACCUGCCCUUAGGUUGGGUAUAAACCCGGGAAACUGGGUAUAAUACCCGAUAGGUCUCGAUUGCUGGAAUGCAUCGAGAUUUAAAGCUCCGGCGCCUAAGGAUGGGUCUGCGGCCUAUCAGGUAGUAGUGGGUGUAGCGUACCUACUAGCCUACGACGGGUACGGGUUGUGAGAGCAAGAGCCCGGAGAUGGAUUCUGAGACACGAAUCCAGGCCCUACGGGGUGCAGCAGGCGCGAAAACUUUACAAUGCUGGCAACAGCGAUAAGGGAACCUCGAGUGCCAGGUUACAAAUCUGGCUGUCGAAAUGCCUAAAAAGCAUUUCAUAGCAAGGGCCGGGCAAGACCGGUGCCAGCCGCCGCGGUAACACCGGCGGCUCGAGUGGUAACCGUUAUUAUUGGGUCUAAAGGGUCUGUAGCCGGCCGGAUAAGUCUCUUGAGAAAUCUGGCAGCUUAACUGUCAGGCUUUCAGGAGAUACUGUCUGGCUCGAGGCCGGGAGAGGUGAGAGGUACUUCAGGGGUAGGGGUGAAAUCUUGUAAUCCUUGAAGGACCACCAGUGGCGAAGGCGUCUCACCAGAACGGACCUGACGGCAAGGGACGAAAGCUAGGGGCACGAACCGGAUUAGAUACCCGGGUAGUCCUAGCCGUAAACGAUACUCGCUAGGUGUCGGCCACGGUGCGACCGUUGUCGGUGCCGUAGGGAAGCCGUGAAGCGAGCCACCUGGGAAGUACGGCCGCAAGGCUGAAACUUAAAGGAAUUGGCGGGGGAGCAC
rnacentral:rRNA from 1 species